CUUUCAGGAGGAAGGCAUGAACUUAAUGACUAGAGAAGCAAUGCAUGAAUGGGAGGUACAAACUGCACUACGGAUAAGUCGGUCUUGGGAAGAGAGUUUGAACCUGGUGAAAUGCUAUUUGAAGAUCAGCCAAAGAAACUUUUCCAAGGCACUACCAGCAUGAUUUCUUCCGAUACUACUCAACAGUCUGAUAUGAAUGAAUAGGAGAAGAAUGGGGCUAGUCAGAUAUAGAAUCUUCCCAGUCUGCUCAAGGCUUCGCCAACCAAAGAGCCUCCGUCUGACACAUCAGAUCUGUAAAAUAAAAAAGAGGGCACCUUCA
rnacentral:lncRNA from 1 species